rnacentral:rRNA from 1 species
UACGGGGGGGGCAAGCGUUGUUCGGAAUUACUGGGCGUAAAGGGUGCGUAGGCGGUCCGCUAAGUUGGAUGUGAAAACUCUGGGCUUAACCCAGAGCCUGCAUUCAAAACUAACGGGCUAGAGUUCUGGAGGGGGUAGCGGAAUUCCUGGUGUAGCGGUGAAAUGCGUAGAUAUCAGGAGGAACACCGGUGGCGAAGGCGGCUACCUGGACAGAAACUGACGCUGAGGCACGAAAGCUAGGGGAGCAAACAGG